AACCGACACAGGUGGUCAGGUAGAGAAUACCAAGGCGCUUGAGAGAACUCGGGUGAAGGAACUAGGCAAAAUGGUGCCGUAACUUCGGGAGAAGGCACGCUGACAUGUAGGUGAAGUGAUUUACUCACGGAGCUGAAGUCAGUCGAAGAUACCAGCUGGCUGCAACUGUUUAUUAAAAACACAGCACUGUGCAAACACGAAAGUGGACGUAUACGGUGUGACGCCUGCCCGGU
rnacentral:rRNA from 4 species